AAGUCGUAACAAGGUUUCCGUAGGUGAACCUGCGGAAGGAUCAUUACUGAGUGAGGGUCCCUCGGGGCCCAACCUCCCACCCGUGUAUACCGUACCUUGUUGCUUCGGCGAGCCCGCCCCCUUCUCGUUAGGGGGGCACAGCGCUCGCCGGAGACACCAACGUGAACACUGUCUGAAGUUUUGUCGUCUGAGUCGAUUGUAUCGCAAUCAGUUAAAACUUUCAACAAUGGAUCUCUUGGUUCCG
rnacentral:misc_RNA from 1 species